AGUCUGAUCCAGCCAUGCCGCGUGAAGGAGGAAUGCCCUCUGGGUUGUAAACUUCUUUUAUAGGGGAAGAAACAUACUUUUUUUAAGGUAGUUGACGGUACCCUAUGAAUAAGCACCUGCUAACUCCGUGCCAGCAGCCGCGGUGAUACGGAGGGUGCAAGCGUUACCCGGACUUACUGGGUUUAACGGGUGCGUAGGCGGGCAUGUAAGUCAGUGGUGAAAUACCGGAGCUUAACUUCGGAACUGCUAGUGACACUAUAUGUCUUUAAGAUUGUGGAGGUAAGCGGAAUAUGUCAUCUUGCUGUGAAAUGCAUAGAUAUGAC
rnacentral:rRNA from 1 species